rnacentral:rRNA from 1 species
GACGAACGCUGGCGGCGUGCCUAAUACAUGCAAGUCGAACGCAGUGGGGACGGGUGAGUAACAUGUGGGUAACCUCCCAUCAGAGGGGAUAACACUUGGAAACAGGUGCUAAACCGAUACUGAUGGAUGGACCCGCGGUGCAUUAGCUAGUUGGUGAGGUAACGGCUCACCAAGGUCACGAUGCAUGGCGGUCCUGAGGGUGUAAUCGGCCCACCUGGGCCUGGGAAACGGCCCAGCUUCUAAGGGGAGGCGGCAUGGGGGAAUCUUCGGCAAUGGAAGAAAGUCUAACCGAGCAACGCCGCGUGAGUGAAGAGGGUUUUGGGAUCUUAAAACUCUGUUGUUAGAGAAGCGGUAUCUAACCAGAAAGCCAGGGCUAAUUCCGUGCCAGCAGCCGGGGUAAUA